rnacentral:lncRNA from 1 species
UCAGCAUCACCGCCUAGAAGGUCUCCUUCUCCUCGUCAGCAGACCCCUCCUCGUCCUCUCCUUCUCCUCAACGUCACUGGCAGAGUCCUCCUCCACCUCCUAGCCCAUCUACAUCAGGCAGAGUCCUCACAAAGAGGACAUGGCUCUCAUGUGCUCCUUUACAGAAAGAAACAUCAAACAAAUCAUUGCAAUCGCACCAAAGGUUCUUGGGAUCGGUUGAGAAUGAGAAAAAUAAAAGGCCUUUUAGUUCCAGCAUUACAAACUUGAUGAACCAGAAAGUCAGUGUCGGUAUACCUAAGGAAAAAUAUGUUCCUUUCUUUAAUCUAAUUGCCUGUUUACCUAAGGCCUUGAAGAGGAAUGAAUAUGAAAGGCAUACACAGAUCAAGUACAAUAAUGAAAUGGACGAUGCAACAUUCCAAGGAAUGUAAUAAACAAGUUGAUGGAGGCCAACUCCACCUAGAAUAGGCAGUACGCCAAAGACCACUAAUGGGAAUCAAUUGGGGUGGCACCAUUGGCAUGUAAGUAUGUAAGAGGCCAUUUUUUGGUUUUGGAGGACAAGUUCAAAGAGUUGUCCACACAGCUGUAUGAGUUGCAUGAAUAUUACAUGGCCC